rnacentral:lncRNA from 1 species
CUGGCCGAGAAGGACGGCUGGCACAGGGCACUCCCUGUAGCAGGGCAGAUGGAGAAUUCAGCGAGAGCCAGAACUGAGUGCCAGAUGGGCCUGGAGCCGUGUCAGCCUGCUGAGAAUCCCCGGAGAGCCGACGGGCACCAAGCCCAGUGUUGUUGAAAUGUGGCAGGACAAGGUGACCCCAGAUGGCCGGCAGGCUUGAGGGAGAAGCAGCAAGAGGAAGAACCCUGCAGACGUCUCCGUGGUAUUUUCAUCAACACGGCAGCCUCCUGAGCACGUACACCCUGAAGCCAGGGCCUGGCUCCAAAGAGCGGUGGGACCAGAGCCCCUCGCGGGGAGGCAGGGAAGCUGUGUGGAGGGGAGCACACCUCCCUCCCUCCCUCUCUCCUUCCCUCCCUCCCAGAUCUGGCCCUUAGCACCUGCCUGACUCCCAUGUCUUCUGUCCUGUGGGGGCAGGGGCCAUGACUGGGUGCUCCACCUUU